rnacentral:rRNA from 1 species
GGGUGGGCGCUGCUAUAAUGCAGUCGAGCGAUGGAUUAAGAGCUUGCUCUUAUGAAGUUAGCGGCGGACGGGUGAGUAACACGUGGGUAACCUGCCCAUAAGACUGGGAUAACUCCGGGAAACCGGGGCUAAUACCGGAUAACAUUUUGAACCGCAUGGUUCGAAAUUGAAAGGCGGCUUCGGCUGUCACUUAUGGAUGGACCCGCGUCGCAUUAGCUAGUUGGUGAGGUAACGGCUCACCAAGGCAACGAUGCGUAGCCGACCUGAGAGGGUGAUCGGCCACACUGGGACUGAGACACGGCCCAGACUCCUACGGGAGGCAGCAGUAGGGAAUCUUCCGCAAUGGACGAAAGUCUGACGGAGCAACGCCGCGUGAGUGAUGAAGGCUUUCGGGUCGUAAAACUCUGUUGUUAGGGAAGAACAAGUGCUAGUUGAAUAAGCUGGCACCUUGACGGUACCUAACCAGAAAGCCACGGCUAACUACGUGCCAGCAGCCGCGGUAAUACGUAGGUGGCAAGCGUUAUCCGGAAUUAUUGGGCGUAAAGCGCGCGCAGGUGGUUUCUUAAGUCUGAUGUGAAAGCCCACGGCUCAACCGUGGAGGGUCAUUGGAAACUGGGAGACUUGAGUGCAGAAGAGGAAAGUGGAAUUCCAUGUGUAGCGGUGAAAUGCGUAGAGAUAUGGAGGAACACCAGUGGCGAAGGCGACUUUCUGGUCUGUAACUGACACUGAGGCGCGAAAGCGUGGGGAGCAAACAGGAUUUAGAUACCCUGGUAGUCCACGCCGUAAACGAUGAGUGCUAAGUGUUAGAGGGUUUCCGCCCUUUAGUGCUGAAGUUAACCGCAUUAAGCACUCCGCCUGGGGGAGUACGGCCGCAAGGCUGAAACUCAAAGGAAUUGACGGGGGCCCGCACAAGCGGUGGAGCAUGUGGUUUUAAUUCGAAGCAACGCGAAGAACUUACCAGGUCUUGACAUCCUUCUGACAACCCUAGAGAUAGGGCUUCCUCCUUCGGAAGCGAA